AGCGACAGGCUUAACACAUGCAAGUCGAGGGGCAGCACAGGUAGCAAUACCGGGUGGCGACCGGCGCACGGGUGAGUAACGCGUAUGCAACUUGCCUAUCAGAGGGGGAUAACCCGGCGAAAGUCGGACUAAUACCGCAUAAAGCAGGGGCCCCGCAUGGGGAUAUUUGCUAAAGAUUCAUCGCUGAUAGAUAGGCAUGCGUUCCAUUAGGCAGUUGGCGGGGUAACGGCCCACCAAACCGACGAUGGAUAGGGGUUCUGAGAGGAAGGUCCCCCACAUUGGUACUGAGACACGGACCAAACUCCUACGGGAGGCAGCAGUGAGGAAUAUUGGUCAAUGGCCGAGAGGCUGAACCAGCCAAGUCGCGUGAGGGAUGAAGGUUCUAUGGAUCGUAAACCUCUUUUAUAAGGGAAUAAAGUGCGGGACGUGUCCCGUUUUGUAUGUACCUUAUGAAUAAGGAUCGGCUAACUCCGUGCCAGCAGCCGCGGUAAUACGGAGGAUCCGAGCGUUAUCCGGAUUUAUUGGGUUUAAAGGGUGCGUAGGCGGCCUUUUAAGUCAGCGGUGAAAGUCUGUGGCUCAACCAUAGAAUUGCCGUUGAAACUGGGGGGCUUGAGUAUGUUUGAGGCAGGCGGAAUGCGUGGUGUAGCGGUGAAAUGCAUAGAUAUCACGCAGAACCCCGAUUGCGAAGGCAGCCUGCCAAGCCAUUACUGACGCUGAUGCACGAAAGCGUGGGGAUCAAACAGGAUUAGAUACCCUGGUAGUCCACGCAGUAAACGAUGAUCACUAGCUGUUUGCGAUACACUGUAAGCGGCACAGCGAAAGCGUUAAGUGAUCCACCUGGGGAGUACGCCGGCAACGGUGAAACUCAAAGGAAUUGACGGGGGCCCGCACAAGCGGAGGAACAUGUGGUUUAAUUCGAUGAUACGCGAGGAACCUUACCCGGGUUUGAACGCAUUCGGACCGAGGUGGAAACACCUUUUCUAGCAAUAGCCGUUUGCGAGGUGCUGCAUGGUUGUCGUCAGCUCGUGCCGUGAGGUGUCGGCUUAAGUGCCAUAACGAGCGCAACCCUUGCCACUAGUUACUAACAGGUAAAGCUGAGGACUCUGGUGGGACUGCCAGCGUAAGCUGCGAGGAAGGCGGGGAUGACGUCAAAUCAGCACGGCCCUUACAUCCGGGGCGACACACGUGUUACAAUGGCGUGGACAAAGGGAGGCCACCUGGCGACAGGGAGCGAAUCCCCAAACCACGUCUCAGUUCGGAUCGGAGUCUGCAACCCGACUCCGUGAAGCUGGAUUCGCUAGUAAUCGCGCAUCAGCCAUGGCGCGGUGAAUACGUUCCCGGGCCUUGUACACACCGCCCGUCAAGCCAUGGGAGCCGGGGGUACCUGAAGUCCGUAACCAAAAGGAUCGGCCUAGGGUAAAACUGGUGACUGGGGCUAAGU
rnacentral:rRNA from 1 species